rnacentral:rRNA from 1 species
GAGUUUGAUCCUGGCUCAGGAUGAACGCUGGCGGCGUGCUUAACACAUGCAAGUCGAACGGGAAACCUUUUAUUGAAGCUUCGGCAGAUUUAGAUUGUUUCUAGUGGCGGACGGGUGAGUAACGCGUGGGUAACCUGCCUUAUACAGGGGGAUAACAACCAGAAAUGGUUGCUAAUACCGCAUAAGCGCACAGGACCGCAUGGUCCGGUGUGAAAAACUCCGGUGGUAUAAGAUGGACCCGCGUUGGAUUAGCUAGUUGGUGAGGUAACGGCCCACCAAGGCGACGAUCCAUAGCCGACCUGAGAGGGUGACCGGCCACAUUGGGACUGAGACACGGCCCAGACUCCUACGGGAGGCAGCAGUGGGGAAUAUUGCACAAUGGGGGAAACCCUGAUGCAGCGACGCCGCGUGGAGGAAGAAGGUCUUCGGAUUGUAAACUCCUGUUGUUGAGGAAGAUAAUGACGGUACUCAACAAGGAAGUGACGGCUAACUACGUGCCAGCCGCCGCGGUAAUUC